AGCACCCUGAAGCUACAGAUGUAGAGCAGGUUGGUGAUGAAUCAGCAUCAGGGGUUCAGGAAACUCAGAAAUCCAGUGCAGAUAUAGUGCAGGCUGAGGAAGCAGCAGCUGGACCAUCAGGGCUUCAGGGUGCCGGGCAGUGUCCCUACCAAAGCUGACACCAAACCUACGCCCUUAUAUU